UUUCAAUGAUGAUACGAUGACGAGACAGAACAGGGCUUUGUCUGAUCCUGAGAGUUACUGGUUCAGGUCCACGUUCUGUGGUUCUGCUCCAGUUCCUUAGAUCAGCAGGUCUUUUCAGAUGAAGACACAGAGGCAUUUGUCUGAGAAAG